rnacentral:rRNA from 1 species
CUAAGCUGAGGCCGAAAGGCGUAGGUGAUGGACAACAGGUUGAUAUUCCUGUACUACCGAUAACCGUUUGAGAGAAGGGAUGACACAGUAGGAUAAGCUAAGCACACUGUUGGUUAUGUGUGCCCAAGCAUUGAGGCAGUCAAAGUAGGCAAAUCCGCUUUGAUAAUGCUGGGAUGUGAUGGGGAGCGAAAUUUAGUAGCGAAGUAGCUGAUUUCACACUGUCAAGAAAAGUCUCUAUCGAGGUUAAAGGUACCCGUACCGCAAACCGACACAGGUGGGUGAGGAGAGUAUCCUAAGGCCAGCGAGAGAACUGUUGUUAAGGAACUCGGCAAAAUGACCCCGUAACUUAGGGAUAAGGGGUGCCACCAUCAGGUGGCCGCAGAGAAUAGGCCCAAGCGACUGUUUACCAAAAACAUAGGUUUCUGCUAAGUCGCAAGACGAUGUAUAGGAGCUGACGCCUGCCCGGUGCUGGAAGGUUAAGGGGAUCUGUUAGAGCAAUCGAAGCAGUGAACUUAAGCCCCAGUAAACGGCGGCCGUAACUAUAACGGUCCUAAGGUAGCGAAAUUCCUUGUCGGGUAAGUUCCGACCCGCACGAAAGGCGUAACGAUUUGGGCACUGUCUCAACAACAGACUCGGUGAAAUUGUAAUUCCGGUGAAGAUGCCGGAUACCUGCGACAGGACGGAAAGACCCCAUGGAGCUUUACUGUAGCUUGACAUUGGGUCUUGGUACUACAUGUACAGGAUAGGUGGGAGGCUUUGAAACCAGGACGCCAGUUUUGGCGGAGCCAUCCUUGGGAUACCACCCUUGUAGUACUGGGACUCUAACCAUAGGCCAUGAAUCUGGUCUUGGGACACUGUCAGGUGGGCAGUUUGACUGGGGCGGUCGCCUCCCAAAAGGUAACGGAGGCGCUCAAAGGUUCUCUCAGUACGGUCGGAAAUCGUACGUAGAGUGUAAAGGCAAAAGAGAGCUUGAUUGCAAGACAUACAGGUCGAGCAAGGAUGAAAAUCGGACUUAGUGAUCCGGUGGUUCUGCGUGGAAGGGCCAUCGCUCAACGGAUAAAAGCUACCCUGGGGAUAACAGGCUUAUCUCCCCCAAGAGUCCACAUCGACGGGGAGGUUUGGCACCUCGAUGUCGGCUCAUCACAUCCUGGGGCUGUAGUAGGUCCCAAGGGUUGGGCUGUUCGCCCAUUAAAGUGGUACGCGAGCUGGGUUCAGAACGUCGUGAGACAGUUCGGUCCCUAUCCGUCGCAGGCGUAGGAAAUUUGAGAAGACCUGUCCUUAGUACGAGAGGACCGGGAUGGACGUACCUCUGGUGUACCAGUUGUCCUGCCAAGGGCAUGGCUGGGUAGCUAUGUACGGAAUGGAUAAGCGCUGAAAGCAUCUAAGCGCGAAGCCAACUUCAAGAUAAGAUUUCCCACCGCAAGGGUAAGACCCCAGAAAGACUAUCUGGUUGAUAGGUCGAAGGUGUAAGUGCAGCAAUGUAUUUAGCUUAUCGAUACUAAUAGGUCGAGGACUUGACCAA